UACGGGGGGUGCGAGCGUUGUCCGGAAUUACUGGGCGUAAAGAGCUCGUAGGUGGUUUGUCGCGUUGUUCGUGAAAACUCACAGCUCAACUGUGGGCGUGCGGGCGAUACGGGCAGACUGGAGUACUGCAGGGGAGACUGGAAUUCCUGGUGUAGCGGUGGAAUGCGCAGAUAUCAGGAGGAACACCGGUGGCGAAGGCGGGUCUCUGGGCCGAUACUGACGCUGAGGAGCGAAAGCGUGGGGAGCGAACAGG
rnacentral:rRNA from 1 species